UCAAGGCAAUGACACCUAACUGGUUUGAGAGGAUGAUCAGUCACACUGGAACUGAGACACGGUCCAGACUCCUACGGGAGGCAGCAGUGGGGAAUAUUGCACAAUGGACGAAAGUCUGAUGCAGCAACGCCGCGUGGAGGAUGACACAUUUCGGUGCGUAAACUCCUUUUAUAUAGGAAGAUAAUGACGGUACUAUAUGAAUAAGCACCGGCUAACUCCGUGCCAGCAGCCGCGGUAAUACGGAGGGUGCAAGCGUUACUCGGAAUUACUGGGCGUAAAGAGCGUGUAGGCGGGUAAAUAAGUUGGAAGUGAAAUCCUAUGGCUCAACCAUAGAACUGCUUCCAAAACUGUUAACCUAGAAUGUGGGAGAGGUAGAUGGAAUUUCUGGUGUAGGGGUAAAAUCCGUAGAUAUCAGAAGGAAUACCGAUUGCGAAGGCGAUCUACUGGAACACUAUUGACGCUGAGACGCGAAAGCGUGGGGAGCAAACAGGAUUAGAUACCCUGGUAGUCCACGCCCUAAACGAUGUACACUAGUUGUUGUGAGGCUAGACCUUGCAGUAAUGCAGUUAACACAUUAAGUGUACCGCCUGGGGAGUACGGUCGCAAGAUUAAAACUCAAAGGAAUAGACGGGGACCCGCACAAGCGGUGGAGCAUGUGGUUUAAUUCGACAUACGCGAAGAACCUUACCUGGUCUUGACAUAGAAAGAACUUUCCAGAGAUGGAUUGGUGCCUGCUUGCAGGAGCUUUCAUACAGGUGCUGCACGGCUGUCGUCAGCUCGUGUCGUGAGAUGUUGGGUUAAGUCCCGCAACGAGCGCAACCCUCGUCGUUAGUUGCUAACAGUUCGGCUGAGAACUCUAACGAGACUGCCUACGCAAGUAGGAGGAAGGUGAGGACGACGUCAAGUCAUCAUGGCCCUUACGACCAGGGCUACACACGUGCUACAAUGGGGUAUACAAAGAGCAGCGAUACGGUGACGUGGAGCGAAUCUCAAAAUGCCUCCCAGUUCGGAUAGUAGUCUGCAACUCGACUACUUGAAGUUGGAAUCGCUAGUAAUCGUAGAUCAGCUAUGCUACGGCGAAUACGUUCCCGGGUCUUGUACUCACCGCCCGUCACACCAUGGGAGUUGAAUUCAUUCGAAGCGGGGAUGCUAAAAUAGCUACCUUCCACAGUGGAUUUAGCGACUGGGGUGAAGUCGUAACAAGGUAACCGUAGGAGAACCUGCGGUUG
rnacentral:rRNA from 1 species